CCAGCUCAUGCUCCAUGGCACCUAGCAAUUCAGAGUACAAAUGAGUGCUGUAUGAGAGUGUGGUACAGCAGAGAAGAGAUACUGAAGGUUGUCUAUGCGACUGCGGUACUUCCCACCUUCUGCCCAGUCCUUUGGCAAGAAGGAGCCAUCACUGAGAAAUUUGGAGACAUGGUUUCAAGAUCCUACCCCAACAGAGUGGAAACAAAUGCACCUUUCACAACAGAGUUCCCUGAGCAUCUGACAGGUCUGGACUCUUCUGGGACAAGAAGCAAAGCACAGCAGGUAAAGGAGCAGAAGCAGACAGAAGGCCAUACAGACUGUCCUGUGCAGCAGCGCUGCGAGGCAACGCUCAUAUUCUCCAUGGUGGAGAGGGAUUCAGGCAUGCUGAAAAUAGAUCCCUCUUGAGAUGGAGAUCAGGCAGCUGCUUCCCUGUCUACUACCUUUUCAGAUGUGGGUUUUCUUCUCCUGAGUUGUGAGAGACAAAGAAUGAGAGGAUGAUUUUUAGCAGGGUGUCAGAAUGAGAACAAAGUGAGAAAGUGGAAGAACCUGUAUGUUGGUUAGUGGGAAACUCCCUCACGUGUGUGUUCAGUGUGGUAGAGGUCAUGAGCUGGAAACACACCAGUGUACUUGUAUGACAGGAGGUUUCCCAGCGUGGAAAGGAAUCUCUUACUGGUGAUCCUCAGCCUUUUCCCCUGAGAACUACUCUCCAGCCCUCUGCUCCUCUGACUAGAACAGAGCGCUGUGCCAGAGGAAGGGAGGGAAAACAUGGUUACAAAUCUCUGACAUCUUAGGGGCUGUAGACAGCCAUCACUGUCCUGUGCUCAUCUGGACAAAGAAAUUCUCCAUAUUUUUCUAAAUCAAAAUGCAUAUUAAAUACUUGUCUUAACAAAUUCCACUAUGGCAAAUGUACUGCUGGAAACUGCCUGUUUCCACUUAGAAGCAGUGUGCUGGUACAAGCUUCAACUAUUUCAAACCUGUAAAAAGGUUUUAUUAGCCUUACUAACCUUACUACCUUAUUGAGUCAGUCUCGCUUGUUUCUUCUUUCCCAUCAACUUUUCAAAAACAAAGGCUUCCUGGGGAUUUUCUUUUUCCUUGUAGAAUGGAAUUUGGUUGAAAGGAAUUCAAGGAGCCAACUCAAACAAUGACACAAAAUUCAACUUUGUCCAGUUUGUGAAUGACACUAAAUUAGGCAGAUGACAAAUGACAGAGCUUAAUUCCAGAUACAUUAAGAGACAUGAAGACUGGAUCAACACAAAUGUUAUGAAGAUCAGUGUGGAACAAGUGGAAAGCUCACAGCUGGGAGAAAAAUAGCCUGAGGUGUCAGUAUGAGCUGGGAACUGACCAGUUCAGCAGGAGCCCUGCUAGAAAGGACUUGGGAGUUAAGAUGGGUACCCAGAAGGAUAAUGAGUGCUCUCACUGCAAACAAGGCAAAGAUACUGGAUGAUGCUCUGAGCAUGUUCAGUUGACUGUCAGAAGCUAAAAUCCCUUUUGUUUGGUAUGGCUGAGUUGUCAUCUGAAAUGGUUUGUCCGAUGUGGGGCUCUCCUGUUCAAAAAGGAUAUGAACUAAAAUGAUGAAGAUGAUCUAGGGUCUCAAAAACUAGUCCUACAAAGAGACUGCCAGGGUUUUUAAUGUUAGGAGAAAAGGACUAAGUUCCAUGUAGGGCAGUUAAAAAUACAAUGUUCUAAACUUUUCCAAUUAGUAGUAGGCAGUGUAACAAGGGACACUGAUCAAAAAUCACAACUUGAGAGGCACUAGUUAGUCAUUAGGAAAACUCUUCACAAAUGUCUGUACGGAGUGAGAUCAAAGGAUUGCAUAGUCUGUCACUCCUGAGAUAUUUCUCACCAUCCCAGUGGUGAAGACUUCUGAACUACAAACCCCCUCAAGCUGGUGAAAGACAUGUGACUAAAGCAAAAACAGAUGGGAAAUUGUACUGAAAACAGUACAAUCUGUGUCACUGCCAGUAAUGGGAGACAGAAGCAUAAGCAUUUUCCUGCUAUCUCUGUGUGAAGCCUAAGAAACCUUUAACCUUCUCAGCUUUCAGUAACUUGUCCAUGUGUCUACACCACACAGAGUCUGUAAUGCUCACAGGAUAGAUAGGGCAGACAUCUCCUUUAACAGGGAUCCCCUUACACCCCUUGUUAUUGAGCCCUGGAAGGCUGGAGAGAGCUCAGAGCUGCUCGACUUCUGCUCAGAUACCCAUGACUCCAGCAUGGUUCUGUGCAAGGCAGCAGAUCCAUAUUCUCACUGUGAAUUUCAGACAACGUGGGAGUAUAAAACAAGGUAUCUUUCCAAGACAACUUCUCUUAAAAACCCCAUCUUAUAUUUGAACAAAAAUUGCAAAUUGGGAUUAAACAAUACUAGGAAACUGUCACAACAGCAAGAUCCCCCUGCCCAGUCCCCCUCUAGGGAAAGCAGACACAAAAGAAGCAAAAUUUUGUUAUAUAUAUUAGCGUAUUUCUGCAACUAUCAUCCUCUCCAAAAGCAAGAGGGGUUUGAGGGUCUGGAAUUCCUUCCUGUGUUCUUAUUCACCACUGGACUGCUUCAGAGCAAAAUACAGAAACUCACCAAGUUCCCUGCUGCCCUACAUGCCCAGCUGUAAUGUGAUCUGUGCAGUUAAAUGAGAUAAUCUGAUAUUAAGGCAGACGAACUAAGAGGCAAGGGGAUCAAAACAGAUUUCUUUAUCAGCCUCUUAGGGGCUUGCAAUGGAUUUAACAGAAACACAGUCUCAUACCUUCUUUUAGUUCAUGGCAAUAAAAGAAAGAACAAAUUA